ensembl:lncRNA
CGCUCUGCUACAACUGUGGUUACGACAAACUCACCUACAACUGCAACUCCACUUCCAACUACCGUUUCUUCAGCAGAAACAACACAAACAACUCAACCUACAACUGUGGUUACAACAAACUCACCUACAACUGCAACUCCACUUCCAUCUACCACCUCUUCUACAGAAACAACAGAAACAACUCAACCUACAACUGUGGUUACAACAAACUCACCUACAACUGCAACUCCACUUCCAUCUACCACCUCUUCUACAGAAACAACAGAAACAACUCAACCUACAACUGUGGUUACAACAAACUCACCUACAACUGCAACUCCACUUCCAUCUACCACCUCUUCUACAGAAACAACAGAAACAACUCAACCUACAACUGUGGUUACAACAAACUCACCUACAACUGCAACUCCACUUCCAUCUACCACCUCUUCUACAGAAACAACAGAAACAACUCAACCUACAACUGUGGUUACAACAAACUCACCUACAACUGCAACUCCACUUCCAUCUACCACCUCUUCUACAGAAACAACAGAAACAACUCAACCUACAACUGUGGUUACAACAAACUCACCUACAACUGCAACUCCACUUCCAACUACCACCUCUUCUACAGAAACAACACAAACAACUCAACCUACAACUGUGGUUACAACAAACUCAACAACAUCCCUACAUACAACAAAUACAACCCCAAACAUAACCCAGUCAGUUUUUUUUAGUUUUUCCAGCAAUGAAACCUUUGUGGCUGAUCUGGAAAAUCCAACUUCAGUGGAAUAUAAAAACAGAGAAACAAAAGUCUUAGCUAAGUUGGAGCCAUUAUUUAAAAACCAGUUCCCCUCCUUCAUUAGCCUGCUAGUUAUUAAGUUCCGUCGUGGUUCAAUCAUCAAUGACCUGAAUUUGACAUUUGGAGCCAAAUUACCCAAUACAGAGGACAUAAAAAGCACUAUUUGGCAAGCCAAUGCCACUCUUAAUAUCACCAGUGUAACAGAAACGGAGCCCAUCACCACAACCAGCACCACAACACCUAUAACCACACCUACCACAACCACACCUAUUACAACCGGCACCACAACCACACCUGACACAACAACCGCCACCACACCCGACACAACAACAACCGCCACCACAACCACACCUAAUACAACAACAACCGGCACCACAACCACACCCAACACAACAACCGCCACCACACCUGACACAAAAACAACCGCCACCACAACCACACCUAAUACAACAACAACAGCCGCCACAACCACACCUAAUUCAACAACAAUCGCCACCACAACAACAACCACACCUAAUACAACAACAAUCGCCACCACAACAGCAACCACACCUAACACAACAACAACUGCCACCACAACAACAACCACACCUAAUACAACAACAACCGCCACCACACCCGACACCACAACAACCGCCACCACAACCACAACCGCACCUGACACAACAACAACCGCCACCACAACCACAACCACACCCGACACAACAACAACCGCCACCACACCUAAUACAACAACAACCGGCACCACAACCACACCCGACAAAACAACAACCGCCACCACAACCACACCUAAUACAACAACAACUGCCACAACAACACCAACCACACCUAAUACAACAACAACCGCCACCACAACCACACCUAAUACAACAACAACCGCCACAACAACACCAACCACACCUAAUACAACAACAACCGCCACCACAACCACACCUAAUACAACAACAACAGUCGCCACAACCACACCUAAUACCACAACAACCGCCACCACAACCACCCCUACUACAACCACAACCGCCGCCACAACCACAACCACACCUAAUACAACAACAACAGUCGCCACAACCACACCUAAUACAACAACAAUCGCCACCACAACAGCAACCACACCUAACACAACAACAACUGCCACCACAACAACAACCACACCUAAUACAACAACAAUCGCCACCACAACAACAACCACACCUACCACAAACACAACCACACCUAUUACAACAACAACCGCCACCACAACCACAACCAUACCUAACACAACAACAACCGCCACCACAACACCAACCACACCUAAUACAACAACAACCGCCGCCACAACCACAACCACACCUAAUACAACAACAACAGCCACCACAACCACACCUAAUACAACAACAAUCGCCACCACAACAACAACCACACCUAACACAACAACAACCGCCACCACAACCACACCUAAUACAACAACAAUCGCCACCACAACAACAACCACAUCUACCACAAACACAACCACACCUAUUACAACAACAACCACAACCACACCUAACACAACAACAACCACCACCACAACCACACCUAAUACAACAACAACCGCCACCACAACAACCACACCUAAUACAACAACAACCACCACCACAACAACAACAACCGCCGCCACAACCACAACCACACCUAAUACAACAACAACAGCCGCCACAACCACACCUAAUUCAACAACAAUCGCCACCACAACAACAACCACACCUAACACAACAAUCGCCACCACACCUAAUACAAUAACAACAACAGACAACCUUAAUACAACAACAACCACACCUAAUACAACAACCACCACCACCACAACAACCACACCCAAUACAACAACAACAGCCAACCUUAAUACAACAACCACCACCACCACAACCACACCUAAUACAACAACAACCGCCACCACAACAACAGCCAAACCUAAUACAACUACCACCAGCCCUACUAUAACAACAAAAGCAACAACAACAACAACCACCACCACAACAACUCCAACUACAACAACCACAACAUCAACAACUCCAACUACAACCACCACCACAACAACAACUCCAACUACAACCACCACAACAACAACAACAACUCCAACUACAACCACCACCACAACAACAGCACCAGCACGUCCUCUGCCAACUGUAGCCAUACAGAUUGUUAUUAUAGAGGUUUUUACUCCAGCACUGGCACACCCAGAAACUACAGAAUUUAAAGAACUAGCCACAAGAGUGGAGACUAUGUUUGAUGAAGUCUAUAAAAAAAAGUUUGGGCCUCGUUUCAUCAGGACCAUCGUGAUUGCAUUCAUAGCUGUUGCCAGAACCCGGGCAGAAUCGAAUGUACAGGCGGAGGUUGAGUUGGUGUUUAGUGAAGCGUCCACUGAACCGAUCCCCAGCAACACUGAAAUUGUGCAGACUCUAAAAGAAGCAGCUGUUAAUUCAACUGCAGGCUUCAACCUCACCCUUGAUGCCGCCACUAUUACUGUCAUUAAAUCAGUGAAGAUAAUUCCACUGACAAUCCUCACCAAUGGAACCUUUGUGGCUGUUCUUUCAAAUAAAAAUUCUACUGAAUUUCAGAACAGAGCUUCGAUGAUAAAAGCAGGGCUUGAACCUUUCUUCUUUGCUGAGUAUCCAACAUCAUUCAGCACCAUAUCCGUAACAAACUUCAGUGUUGCCAGUGUAAAAUUAAGGAGUGUGCCAACAAUCCGAAACUCCAUGGAUCUCACAUUCGGAGCGGACGCCGUUCUACCCAAUAGCACCCAGAUAGUGAACACUGUAGUCCGAGCAGCCAGAAACAACACGUUACCCUUCCAGAUCUUCACUUCUUCAAUCAUAAUAAAUGGAACCGAAUAUUCGUCAGGUGAAGUCAGCAGCAGGGUCAGUGUGUUGACCGCUUCAGUCCUGGUUGCUGUGUCGCUUCUGGUUCCAUGGUUUAACUGGGUGUAACCACUCAGGCCAAUAUAACUGAUUCAUACGGGUCUAAAUCUUCCUUGCCUUUCACGCCUGCUCAAAUGAAGGACUCGUACAUGUAAACAAAACUCUGACUGCAUCAGUUUUUAGAACUGAAUGUGUCUGUUUUUAGCUCUUGUUCUGUUUUCAGAACAGGUUAACACUAGUCAUACAAGCACUUUUAGUAAUUUAUUUAUUCUUAAAAAAAAGACUCAGUUAAAUCAUAUUGUCAUUGGUUUCUUUUCUGAAUAAUGUAAUCUACAAAUCAAGGGGCAGUUCUUUAAAGUCAUUAAUUUAUUGUUUGUUUAUUCUGUAUGUGUUGUAGUCGGAUGAGUAAAAGUGGGUACAACAUAACAAUCUACAGACGUAUAGUAUAAGCUACAACAACCACAUUUUCAACUGAAUUCUUUUGUAAUAUUGUAAUAUAUAUGAAUAUAUAUGUAAUAUAUAACCAUCUCUGUUAUAUCUAAGAUGAACUCUGGUAAAACUAUUGAAAUGCAUUACAUUUGUUAAUUUAUUUGUUGAUCAAUAAAAAAUAGGAGUGUAACGGUUCA